GCCGAGCACAGUGCGGGCAACUAGAUAAGUAGGGACCAGGAAGGGAAAACCCGGGACCGACAAGAAAGAAAAGAAAGGAGCUGCGGUCUGAUCUGUGGACAAGGACAAAAGAGAGAGAGAGAGAGAGAGAGAGAGAGAGAGAUCUUUGCUUAUCGAGAUCAGAAGAGGGAGUGAUCGUUGAGGAGGAGAUGGGUGCUGGGGAUUCUGAACUUGAAGAACCUGUGGCCACGCUUUGGUAGCACCAUCUGUGGACGUGAGAGGAAUCGCCAA